rnacentral:lncRNA from 1 species
AGUAGAGCUCUCCCUCCCUUGAAUCCCAAUGUUAUAUAAUAUCUGCUACUCAAGGAGUGAUCGUUGUUGAAUGAAGGAAUGAAUCUUCACAGUCAAGUUCAAGUUCCAGCUGCUUGGCUUUCGACCAUGAGUCACAAUUCUCCCCUUCUUGUUUGUACCUGGUCUUUUUUCCUCCUCUUUGGUUUCUACAUCUCAUUCAUACCCAUAAGGGAGUGGAGAAAAGCCAAAGGAAACAUAAGAAAAGGAAUUCAGUGCCCCUGCGAACCAGUGUAGCAGCUCCCAGACAAACUGUCAAGAACGGAAUUUAGGGGCCAGCCCAUGGCCGAGUGGUUGGGUUCGCAUGCUCCACUUCAGCGGCCCAGGGUUUCGCAGGUUCAGAUCCUGGGCGCGGACCUGGCCCUGCUCAUCAGGCCACGCUGAGGCAGCGUCCCACAUGCCACAACUAGAAGGACCCACAACUAGAAAUAUAUACAACUAUGUACCGGGGGGCUUUG